rnacentral:rRNA from 1 species
GACGAACGCUGGCGGCGUGCUUAACACAUGCAAGUCGAACGGAAAGGCCCUGCUUUUGUGGGGUGCUCGAGUGGCGAACGGGUGAGUAACCCGUGAGUAACCUGCCCUUGACUUUGGGAUAACUUCAGGAAACUGGGGCUAAUACCGGAUAGGAGCUCCUGCUGCAUGGUGGGGGUUGGAAAGUUUCGGCGGUUGGGGAUGGACUCGCGGCUUAUCAGCUUGUUGGUGGGGUAGUGGCUUACCAAGGCUUUGACGGGUAGCCGGCCUGAGAGGGUGACCGGCCACAUUGGGACUGAGAUACGGCCCAGACUCCUACGGGAGGCAGCAGUGGGGAAUAUUGCACAAUGGGCGGAAGCCUAAUGCAGCAACGCCGCGUGCGGGAUGACGGCCUUCGGGUUGUAACCCGCUUUCGCCUGUGACGAAGCGUGAGUGACGGUAAUGGGUAAAGAAGCACCGGCUAACUACGUG